UUUAUUAUUAACAUAAAAUGAUACAUCUCAAACAGUUUACACGGUUUGACUGUGGGAUCGUGCAGUCUCUACUCUCUUAUAUUUAUAUUUAUCUUACAAUGAAAUUCGUUUCUAUAAUAAAUUUCUGAUUCUGAUUCUGAUAUUUAACUGUUUAUCAAUGUUUGCAGUGACUGUCAAGCUUCGAGCAGAUCAAGGAAGCAUGGAACCCACGGAGUUUUACCAAUCUCCUUACUACAUAGACGACUCAGAGUGCAAAGCCAGCUGUACCACGUGCACUGACAAUGAGGGAUACAGGGUGUAUUGCCUGAACGGGACGACGACCCCAGCGCCCAAUGACUUGACUUUGGUAAUAAUUACCUACUUUAAAAUAUAUUUAAAGUGGAAAAAUUCACUGUCUCGGGCGAGACUCGAACUGGCAACACUGGACCACUAUUUCAUGAUCUGCAAAUUACGCUAGCGAGACCUCACCCGACGACAGCCAAUACAGUGCUGGACAACAAGAAUCAUACACUUACAACUUGUUUUGUGAAGCCUCGUGUACAUUUAUAGAACACUUAUACGAGUAGUAGCUACAUUUAAUUAGCUGUAUUAUCAUUAAAACAAAUUACAUUAAUUAUUAUUGAGUAAUUUGCAAAAUAAAAAUAAACAAAAAAUUACUUUCAUGGGUUUAGAUAUGAGGAUAUUAGAUAUUAUUUAAGGUAUAUUUUACAAAAAAAGAUUGAACUAUUUUCGGGUCGCCACUUUCCCGAAUGAAGGUUGAGGGAGGCGACGGCUGAGAUACGCGUCAUGCUCGUGAACGGGUGCUGUUUGUGGAGACCGGACUGUUUAAAGCUUACACGGGCUACAUCUUAUGUUAUAAGUAUGUAACACUUUUGAGUGGCAUUAACGUGAGACACUUCCUUCGGUUCUUGUCUAUUUGUUAAUUUCAUGUAUCAUUUAUAUAAUUCAAGCCUUGGAGACCCUUUACAUCUCUAAAGAUUUUUAUUAUUUGUUGUUUGUAUUUUUAUCAUAGUUUUUUGUGUAAUUCGACAUUUAGAGACUGUAUGCAUCUCUAAUAAAGUAUCUAAUAUUUAAUUGAUUCCAUAUUUGUAAUUGUAUUUUGUUAUUUUUAUGAUUGUAAAAAUUUGACGUGUAAAAGUGCCCCUGUGGCCUAUUUGCUGAAUAAAUGUUUAAAUAAUUAAUAGAAUCAGGCGUUACUUUGCGGAAAUCCAUUCUAAUUGAAGCAAGAAAUAUUACUUUGCUAAUCCGCGAGAAAAUAACGUGUUAGUCAAUCAGUGAUAACCCGUUAUACUUACUUGCGUAUUUUUACAUGCAAUUAAUGUUCCCACCCUCCCUCCGCAAAAAUAAAUACGCAAAUAAAUGUAACAACCCACCACCAAAAGUACAAAACUCGACACGUGUUUCACCUCUCUACGAGGGAUUCGCCUCUCUCAGGAGUUUUGUACUUUUGGUGGUGGGUUGUUAUAUUUAUUUGCGUAUUUAUUUUUGCGGUGGGAGGGUGGGAACAUUAAUUGCAUGUAAAAAUACAUCCGACAACUGAACUGUUUCAGUUGUCGGGUGUCAGACCGUCAACAUCUCCAGCAUCUCCUGAGGAACACGUUAUUUUCUCGCGGAUAAGCAAAGUAAUAUUUCUUGCUUUAAUUUGAUUUGAAGUGGGCCGGGAGGGAUCGGCCAACUUGAAGCGAACGGUUAUUAUAAAUACAUAAAUAGACGUAAGUUUCACUGUAAUUACAUAAAAUUAAAAUAUAAUCAAAUUAAUAAAUACUUCCGUUUCCAGAUUGUACAAGCGUUCUCAGAGAUAUCAAGCGUAUACUGGAGUUAUUGGGAAAGAAUGUUCUGGGCCAAAACCUUCAAUAACAGCGUUUGGUCAGCGUAUCCAGAUAAAGGGUGGCCGGUCUGCCCUACCACUACAUCGACCACGGAGACACCCUCACCUACCUGGCCACCACAUAACCUUACUGGACAAACCAUAUCCAAGUGUUUCGUGUGCGGAAUGUAUGAGGGCGGCAUCCCGCAAGAGGACCACGUGUGCUCUGACUCCUUCCUAUCACAUUCCUACAGGAAGCACUGCAAGUUCCUCAACAGGCAAGUGUACUUGUAUUGUACUUCAUAACCCCGUGCCGGCGUCAGUGUAUCGUGUGCGUGUUUGAGCUACCUGUCACACUCCGACAGGAAACAGUGCAACUUCCUCAACAGGCAAGUGUACUCGUAUUGUACUUCAUAACCCCGUGCCAGCGUCAGUGUCUCGUGUGUGUCACUCUCCGACAGGAAACAGUGCAAGUUCCUCAACAGGCAAGUGUACUCGUAUUGCACUUCAUAAGCCCGUGCCGGCAUCAGUGUCUCGUGUGUGUCUACGAGCUACCUGUCACUCUCCGACAGGAAACAGUGCAAGUUCCUCAACAGGCAAGUGUACUCGUAUUGCACUUCAUAAGCCCGUGCCGGCGUCAGUGUAUCGUGUGCGUGUUUGAGCUACCUGUUACACUCCGACAGGAAACAGUGCAACUUCCUCAACAGGCAAGUGUACUCGUAUUGUACUUCAUAACCCCGUGCCAGCGUCAGUGUCUCGUGUGUGUCACUCUCCGACAGGAAACAGUGCAAGUUCCUCAACAGGCAAGUGUACUCGUAUUGCACUUCAUAAGCCCGUGCCGGCGUCAGUGUCUCGUGUGUGUCUACGAGCGACCUGCCACUCUCCGACAGGAAACAGUGCAAGUUCCUCAACAGGCAAGUGUACUCGUAUUGCACUUCAUAAGCCCGUGCCGGCGUCAGUGUCUCGUGUGUGUCUACGAACUACCUGUCACACUCCGACAGAAAACACUGUAAAGUCCUCAACGGGCAAAUAUCAUGAUUAUGAUUUACUAAUACUAUACUGCAUUAGGUGUACAGGCCACUGUCCACUCAGGCCUUACACUAAGGAUUAAGGUUACGAAUGUUUCAGGGAAGGUUGGCACGUGAAUGGUAGCGGAGGGUUCUACAUGUGGGGCGCCUGGACGGGCGGGUGCUCGCUUCGAUUCACCGACAUCACCAGUCAGUAUACUGCAACCUUUAUUUAUGUCGUGGCCAGAUCAUAGAACUCGAUAAUUUCAUGAAAUUAUACCAUUUUAGAAUUUAUCACUUAGGUUUCACUUUUUAUUAUGUAGCCAACCGAUCUUUUCAUGAAAUCAUUGCUAUUCUGUCUUGUCUGGCCACGAGUUCCACCACACAUACAUAUAUUAACCUUUUCGCCGCCACGCCAAUGAAGUAAUAAAGUGUCAUCAACGCCACGUCAAAAAUGGCACGUAUACAAACCUGACCAAAACCACGACUUGAUAUGAUGUCGUGGCGUGUGGGGCACGAAAUGUACUGACUUGAAAUCACGAUUUCACGGCAUUAAAUUUUAGUGACCAAUGUUAUAGAUUUUGUAUAUUAGUAAGUUUUUUAUAUGUACCACUUUGGAGUAUUAUAAACCUUAAUGUAGUUUCGUUUCUUUCAGCCGUGUACCACCAGCGCACGUGUCGGAACAACGUCAACCCGGCUUUGGGCAGCCACUACGUCAGUCGACGGAUGGCAAAGUUGGAGUAUGCUCUCAGAGUAAGUCGUGUCCCGGCUCAGGGCCGCUCGUCCACGAUCCUAUUUCGUCACCUUCUUAACUUAUUAUUAUUAUUAAUCGUAUGGCAUGCAUAAAGAAGGCAAUCAAAGUAUAGCUUUAAGGUCGCUAAGCCACCUUAUCAUUUAACUAACUUAUCAUUUGGUCCACUGUACUGAUUCGCCAACAUUCCUAAAUCGUCACUCAUCAACAUUCCUAUGUGGUCCUUAGUGCUUACUCGUCCACAUUCCUAGAUAUGGUCCACUAUGCUGGCGUUAUUGGAGGUCAAAAUAACAGGCCGAAAAAGCUUUUCAGUUGAAAAAAAAGCAAUGCCAAGUAAAUAUAAAGUGCAGGAGUGGUACAAUAAUGUUUAAGUGUCAAACCAGAGGCUAACCGAGGGUUAAAAAAUCGAUCCAUCUAGAUUUUAUUGUUUGUAAUAUUCGCUUUUGAGUGUUUUCAAAUAUGAAACUCAAUAUUCAUAACAUACUUUAAUUGGUUUGGGAGUCUCCAAUCCGCAUAUAUUGUGCCAAAUUGGCUACGUAUGUUGCCACCAUAGAGAAAUAAGAAGUAAGAGUGCUCACUCCAUACAUCAGUGUUGGUACCAAAACGCUUAUUAUUUUCGUAGUUGACACUCGACUCGACAGCUAGCAUCGAUCGAGUAGUGGAAUUAUCAUUACCGCUACUUGACAAUAGAUGUCGCGAAGAACGAAAAGUCUAAUUCUUAUAUUAUAACCGGAUUAACUGGAACUUUAUUUUCAACUCCUUCUACUUGUAAUAUUUAUCCAAAUUAGCUCCGGCUUUCCAAGCAGCACUGAAAAAUACUUUUAUUUUGUCGACAGAGAGAGUCAGACGCCUGUCUCGCUUCCCCGACGGCUACUCUCGUCCCUCUAUCGCGUGGCAUCUCGCUCUUCUCGCGCUUCCACGUGUGCGUCUGCUCAAAGAACUACUGCAAUCGUGCUGGACGAUUUUAUACCGUGUUUCAAUGGAGUACGAUCGGUUUUGCAUUGAGUAUACUGGUUUAUGGAGUUUUGCAGAGGAAAUUGAUCUUUUGACCAGUUUAAAUGCAAGGUUACGGUUUUAAUAUAUGACGAAACUGCUUUAAAGAGGACGCGUAAGU